rnacentral:pre_miRNA from 1 species
GUUGUACUCCCUUCGUUCUGAAUUACUCGUCGUAGAAAUGGAUGUAUCUAGAUGUAUUUUAGUUCUACAUACAUCCAUUUCCGCACGAGUAAUUUGGAACGGAGGGAGUAGCUC